GGGGGAUUAGCUCAGUUGGUAGAGCGCUAGGUUCGCAAUUUAGAGGUCGGGGGUUCGACUCCCCCAUUCUCCA
rnacentral:tRNA from 1 species